CAGAUUGAGUUUACCCAGCAAAGAUUCCUCAAACUUAGGAGCCCGUGUCCAGGCUGCCUGGUUACUAACCGGAGCGGUCCACUUUCCCGCCUUUUCUGCGCCCAGCAUCAGCCUUCCCUUACCCCUCCCAACCUCUACCCUGUACGCACGCGCACAUCCCAGCUGCUUGCUUUCCACCAGCGCCCCCUCAAAGCUUCCCCUAGCAACAAGCGCCGGCUCACCGCUAAGGCGUGGCGAGCGCAUGCGCCGCAGCCCUCUCAGCCGCCAGUUGGACCGCACGCUGGGCUCCGCCUCCUCCCACCCAGGGUCCGCGUGGCGGGGCGCGCGCGCACUCUGGCUCGGGGGCUGCCGGCCUCGCUGGCCGCGGCAGUCAGGAGAGAGGGGCGGGGCUGUUCCUUGGGGGCCACGCCCCCUUUGGCCCGGCGUCCCUACCGCGCCUGCGCGCUCCCGCCCGGGCUCCAUCUUGGAAUUGGGAGGAAGAGGGAGAGGGAGACCGGGACGAGACCCGGGUUGUGGUGCGGAGAGGCUGGGGCUGAGAAGAGGAGAGGGAGAGAGGGCGCCGGGACCGCCCUUAGCUGCAGUCUUUCAGCUCCCCUCACGAGAGAGAAGGGGACAGGGAGGAGGCCGGGGCGGGAGUGGGGGCUGUCACCCUCGUACCCUGACGUGAGAGGGGCCGUUUGGCCGGACGUCCUAGGGGUGGGUCCCCUAUCGGUGGCCGAAGCCCUGGGGUUCAGGCCCUUCGGUUCCGAAUUUCCGGGCUUGACCCCUCGUUUCUCAAAUACCCGGUUAUCAGCCCCACAGAUUCCAGAUAUCCGGGACCCGGGUCCCAACCUCUCUAAAGCUGGGGCUCUGUUUUAUAGGAUUUCAAAUAUCUGGGGUUCAGGCCCCUGCGUGCACCAGUAUCCGGGGUUCAUUCCCUCACGCGUUCAACUAUCAGAGCCAGCCUCCCCCCCGUUUAAAUAUCUGGGGUUCAGACCCCACAAUCAGAAAUCCGGGAUUCAGCAACUGUCGCCCUCGAGGAGGAGGAGGAGGACUGGACCGCGAGGUCAGAUCAGGCUGUCACCCCCUCCCCUCCAGGGGAGGCUUCCCGGGCCCACCCCUGAGGAAGGGCAAACGCCGAGGCAGAGGUGGCAAGGGGAAAGGGCUCCUUGCCCCUCUCCCUGCUUGGCAGAGCCGCUGGAGGACCCCAGGAGGAGUCGGAAGCGCUGGGGGCACCAUAGUGACUCCUACCAGGUGAGACACGGGGUGCAGGGGCGCGGGUCCCGGUGUCGAGCGCUGAGAAGAAAGGGUGCUGGGCCUCGGGAGGCCCUCUCGGGAUGGGGAAGCCCGGCCGGGCCAGUGGUCCGCCUCUGGCUCCCUCUGCCUGCUGCGGCCACCCUCUUCCCCUUUCUCUUCCCUUCGUUAAGUCCGGUUGAGGAGGCACCUCAGGUGACAGGGUCUCUGAUGUCCCCGGGGGUCACGCCCUAG
rnacentral:lncRNA from 1 species